rnacentral:rRNA from 1 species
UCGAACGAUGAAGCCCUUCGGGGUGGAUUAGUGGCGAACGGGUGAGUAACACGUGGGCAAUCUGCCCUUCACUCUGGGACAAGCCCUGGAAACGGGGUCUAAUACCGGAUACCACUCCUGCCUGCAUGGGCGGGGGUUGAAAGCUCCGGCGGUGAAGGAUGAGCCCGCGGCCUAUCAGCUUGUUGGUGGGGUAAUGGCCCACCAAGGCGACGACGGGUAGCCGGCCUGAGAGGGCGACCGGCCACACUGGGACUGAGACACGGCCCAGACUCCUACGGGAGGCAGCAGUGGGGAAUAUUGCACAAUGGGCGAAAGCCUGAUGCAGCGACGCCGCGUGAGGGAUGACGGCCUUCGGGUUGUAAACCUCUUUCAGCAGGGAAGAAGCGAAAGUGACGGUACCUGCAGAAGAAGCGCCGGCUAACUACGUGCCAGCAGCCGCGGUAAUACGUAGGGCGCAAGCGUUGUCCGGAAUUAUUGGGCGUAAAGAGCUCGUAGGCGGCUUGUCACGUCGGAUGUGAAAGCCCGAGGCUUAACCUCGGGUCUGCAUUCGAUACGGGCUAGCUAGAGUGUGGUAGGGGGAGAUCGGAAUUCCUGGUGUAGCGGUGAAAUGCGCAGAUAUCAGGAGGAACACCCGGUGGCGAAGGCGGAUCUCUGGGCCAUUACUGACGCUGAGGAGCGAAAGCGUGGGGAGCGAACAGGAU